UGGUGGAGCGAUUUGUCUGGUUAAUUCCGAUAACGAACGAGACUCUAGCCUAUUAAAUAGUUCGCCGAUUUUUCGAGUCGGCGUCAACUUCUUAGAGGGACAAGUGUCGUAUAGGCACACGAGAUUGAGCAAUAACA
rnacentral:rRNA from 1 species